UCAGGUGCUGGGCUCAAACCAUGGGAAGUGCGGGGGACGUAACAACGGCAAUGAUUCCAAUGCAUCAUAAGAUGUUGUGGAUAUGCCUAGGGGUGAAUUGCACAAGCAUAGGGCUUCUCCUGAGUCCGAAUCCGACAGCUAACUUCGCAGGCAUAACAGAGGAGGUAC
rnacentral:sRNA from 2 species